CUGUCUAGAGGAUAGGAACGGUAAAGAAAGGAGUAUAUGAAGCAGCAAGCCGCCAUUGGGAGUCCUAUAGAUGUAUAAAGAGCUUUUGCCAGAGAUGCUGCAUUCUCUCUAUCUGUGGCUAUCUCUGUUGACCUCGAUGACCCUUCAGGGAUUGGCUUGUAUCCAUAAACAUGUUGUGCCAGGAUUCCAACUAUAGGAGGUGCAAACGAUGACAAGAUAGACUCAAACGAUUUGUCCAGUGCGUAGACGCUUGUUCUUGAUUUCUCUGGAACGAUCUCUGCGAAGAUUGGGCUGCGUUUGUUUCACCAGGAGCAUUCCAAGAAACAAAUAGCCCCAAUAGGACUAAGAUCAGACCAUGGAUUGCAGCUGUAGAUGGAUCAUCUGGUAAGACCAACAAGAGAAUUGCAGCGAGCGGGAUCGCUGAGGCUGAACUAAUCUGCGCGAGAAUGAUUCUUCCGGAAUUGGGAAGACGAGUAGACAGAAAAUCUCCCAUUUUGCCUCCAAACAAGCCACCAAGAGAAGAUGCAGCCACGAAAAGACCCAUCAAGAAUGCAGUUUUCCCGUGUGAGAACCCAAUGAGUUCCAACCACAUAGGUGCAAAAGAAAGAGCAGACCAAGGAAACGAUCCUGUCACUCCCUGAGCUACAAUGAUCUGAAAAGACCGAAUCUUUAUGACAGUAUCAGCUUCCCGGACCAAAUCCUUCACCUCUGUACAAAAAGGUUUCCUCGAACCUGGUUGAUUCGAAACAUCAACACCAUCCUUCACAAAAUGUGGAUCAUUGGCGAAAACUCUAACUAGCACACCAACAAUAACACUGAUCACACCUACGAUAUGGAAAGCAACUCUCCAACCAGGUAUGCCCAUAAAGGUUAAUGGAGCUAUUAAAACAGAGCAAAGCCCGCCUAAAAUCGAACCAAUAUUUGCUGUUAAUUGUAACCAUCCAAAAGCAGUACCACGGUUAGCAUCAUCAGUUGAGUCAGCAACGAGAGACUGAAUAGCUGGAGCCACAAGAGCAAGACCAAUUCCAUUCAGAGCUCUAGACACUGCUACCUGCUCUAUCAGAAAUGCCACAAGAGAUUUGUGUAUCUCACUAAACCCAAACCAUAAACCUUAAUUGUGGAAAAAAGGACAAAACCUGGAAGAAAGUGGAAGAGAAAGCGACAAGGAAAGUAGCAGCGGACCAGAGAAAUGCACCCAGAGCUAUAACGUGAGCUCGGUUAUGUCUAAUGGCCAUGUAAGCAGCUAAGGGAUAGCAAGCGGCUUGAACCAUGGAUCGUAGCAACGUUAAUGACCCGAGUCCGGUUGGAUCGGUAUGAAGAGCUAAACCGACCUCUUUGUAUACACCUGGAAGCAGAGAUUCAUCGGCUCUUUCCAUUAUUCCGGCUAGAUUCACAAGAAGCAGCGUCAUCGUCUCCGCCUUCAUCUUUCCCGAUUAAAAACAAAACAAAAAUCUGAUUUUUUCUUUCUUUGAGUCUAAUUCGUAACUGAAAAAUAAUUUGG